CCUACGGGAGGCAGCAGUAGGGAAUCUUCCACAAUGGGCGAAAGCCUGAUGGAGCAACGCCGCGUGAGUGAUGAAGGCCUUCGGGUUGUAAAACUCUGUCAUUCGGGACGAACCGGAGUCUGAGGAAAUGCAGACUCUCUGACGGUACCGGAGGAGGAAGCCCCGGCUAACUACGUGCCAGCAGCCGCGGUAAUACGUAGGGGGCAAGCGUUGUCCGGAUUCACUGGGCGUAAAGCGCGCGCAGGCGGUGAUGUAAGUCUGAGGUGAAAACCCGAAGCUCAACUUCGGGACUGCCUUGGAUACUGCGUCACUUGAGGAUAGGAGAGGCAAGGGGAAUUCCACGUGUAGCGGUGAAAUGCGUAGAGAUGUGGAGGAACACCUGUGGCGAAGGCGCCUUGCUGGCCUAUUUCUGACGCUGAGGCGCGAAAGCGUGGGGAGCAAACAGGAUUAGAUACCCUGGUAGUCCACGCUGUAAACGAUGAGUGCUAGGUGUAGGUGGGCUCAUACCCAUCUGUGCCGAAGCUAACGCAUUAAGCACUCCGCCUGGGGAGGUACGGUCGCGAGACGUAGAACGUACGAAAGGAAGUUAGUACGGUUAGGAGGACGUUCGGACCGACGGACGACGACGAGGGGAGGUAGG
rnacentral:rRNA from 1 species